UAGGAAGGGGAUCUUAUUAUAAUAUUACCGCCCCCUAAAACUGUAUGUUUCCACCCACGGUGCCGCCAUUGUUUUCGUAAGCGACAACGGUGUACUGGAGACACUGGUCCUGGAGUGCAGCAGCAGCAGCUGUUCUGCACAGUUUAGCUACAACCCUGAUCAAACACAGUUAAAUGUCUUCAGGAUUACUAAAGCUACGUGAAGCAAGUGAUGGUGCCAAACAUGCCAUAUAUUAAAGUGAUCGGCUUGACAUUGAUGGCCAAUAAGGGCCCCAGUGUUCCUCAGAUAAUUAAACUGCUGGACUGGCAGGAUGACACAGAUCAUUACAUCAUGGUCACGAAGAGGCCAAUCCUUUGCAUGGACUUGUUGAGUUUCAGCUCAACGGAGGAAGCCUUGACGAGAUGACAGCACGACAUUAUAUGCGGCAGGUCAUUCAUGCCACUAACAUUUGUUGCGAGCACUGUGUCUUCCAUCGGAACCAUGGAGGUCAAAAUGAUUGACUCUGGGUGUUGUGUGCUCAUGAAGAAAUUUGCCUUCAAAGUCUUCAGUGGUAUGAUUUAUGAACCGCUUUGUUAACUAGUUUGCAGACACGCAUUGUCGUGGAAAUUCUCAAUACAAAUCUGACUUCACCACUGACAAUUUAAACAACUCCUAGUUGUUAAUAUAAUA